rnacentral:rRNA from 1 species
UACGGAGGAGGCAAGCGUUAUCCGGAAUUAUUGGGCGUAAAGCGUCCGCAGGUGGCACUUCAAGUCUGUCGUCAAAGACUGGGGCUUAACCCUGGAAAGGCGGUGGAAACUGAAGCGCUAGAGUGCGGUAGGGGUAGAGGGAAUUCCCGGUGUAGCGGUGAAAUGCGUAGAGAUCGGGAAGAACAUCGGUGGCGAAAGCGGCAUCCUGGACCGAGAUUGACGCUGAUGCGCGAAAGCCAGGGGAGCAAACGGG